rnacentral:rRNA from 1 species
UACGUAGGGGGCAAGCGUUGUCCGGAUUUACUGGGCGUAAAGCGCGUGUAGGCGGUCCGGUAAGUCCGCUGUGAAAGUCGGGGGCUCAACCCUCGGAUGCCGGUGGAUACUGUCGGGCUUGAGGUACGGAAGAGGCGAGUGGAAUUCCUGGUGUAGCGGUGAAAUGCGCAGAUAUCAGGAGGAACACCAAUUGCGAAGGCAGCUCGCUGGGACGUUACUGACGCUGAGACGCGAAAGCGUGGGGAGCAAACAGG